GAGCUCCUGGUUCUUUUGCACAUCCCAUGCAGUGAGAUCUCAGAAUUUCAGGAGCAAUCACUGUUUUGUAACCACCAUAAACCAAGCCUGCAAGGGGGAAGGAGGUUUCUGCAGUACAGGUGUUGCUGAAAGAUAAGGUCAGCUACAUCCCAUCCUAAGGGAAAAUGCAUAGGAUUCAUGGAAAGGUGAUAAAGCUUUUGGCUAAAGGUUGUAAGUGGUGCAUGCCAGGAGUCUAUUAUUAAACAUUACACAUAGAGCCUAGUAACCGUCUAUCAGAGCUUUAUCCUCUGCUGGGUACAAGACCAGCUGGUGAAAAACUGGUUUGGAGUGAAGCAUCAUUAGUGUUUUAAAUACAGGAUAAAGAGAUCUUGAUCCUUGAAAUCUUACUCUUUCUUUUUUGUCCCCUCUCCUUCUCCAGCUUCUUUUCAAUCAAUUAAUUCAUUGAAUUAAUGAAUCCCUAUUAGCCUAAAAUGGAAAAUGAAAAACUAAGAAGUUUGCAGACAUCUUUGAUUAUACAAAAAUAAUGAAGAGUUGUACAUUACAGCCACUAGAAGAGAUCUGUCAGUAAAAGACAAAGAACCACUCCUCACCUUACCCAGCUGAAACUGAAACAUGAACGUGCAGGAAGUGAACGUGUUUACCCUCAGCUCCAUGGAGAGAAGCUUUCUUGCUCUUUUAAUCCGAGUUUCUCGUGCUGCAGAACUCGUUACUCACCACGAGCAGAGCUGCCCAUCCCUGCAGGUCCACUGCUCCGAUCCAGCAGGUUCCAGCAUCACUCUCAAAAUAAAACAAUUUACAGUUCAUAAAUGGAGAGUUCAAAGGAUGAAACAAACCCCAGACUCACAGGGUAUGCAGAAGUCAGAAGGACAGCGACAUUGUAAUUUUGCUGCCUUGCAGCAAGGGAACUGUUGAAACCAGUUCAAGCCUGUGGUGUGGAUGUGUUUCUUCAGGAGCACACUUGCUGGGAGGACAUCACUCUGGGAUCACAUUCUGCCAAAGCAUGUGCCCAGUAUGGCCUUUGUGCUAGCUCAAAGGCAGGGUUUACAGUUGGGAAGAACACUGCCUAAAGCAGCUCACAAUACUGAGCUGGCCUUAGGAGGUACAGAUGUUGCAGCACCCAAAACAAGCUGAUUUGGAUGAGUAAGUUCAAGCAGCACAAGGAGCUCAGCAGGAUGCCAGUACUUAAUGUACUGGCAGUACUUAAUGCCAUCCCUCCUGAACGAGUCUUUACAUUCUCUUAAUUACUGGUACAAGUGCAGCAUCUAAAGGCAGUAUUUAGUAUUUCUGCUGAGCCUGUCCCCCACCUUUCCAGAACAGUGUCUGAAAAACCAACCCAAAGGGCAAAGUGUGUUAUUAAAAAGGGGCUGAAGCAGC